rnacentral:lncRNA from 1 species
GGGUGCUGACAGAUUCUCCAGCUCAAUUUUCAGCAGGCACAAUUAUGAUUUUCGAGAACAAACUUCAGCAAUUUUGCCGGCUUGGCCCUUGAUUUUUGAUGGAAAAGAGAGAGAAACACUCUUCCCUUUAAAUAGGGUCGGAGGGGAGGAGUUCAACUCCUCUUCGAAGGUGAGUUUCCGACUUCAUUUAGGAGUCAUUCCGGAGAGGGAGUCUUCUCUUGAUUUUUUUUAAAAAAUUUUCUAUCGCUUUAAGAUUCAUGUGGCUGUUUUGAUUGGGUUAGGGUAUUGCACAUAGUA